rnacentral:rRNA from 1 species
AUUGAACGCUGGCGGCAUGCCUUACACAUGCAAGUCGAACGGUAACGGGCCUUCGGGUGCCGACGAGUGGCGAACGGGUGAGUAAUGCAUCGGAACGUACCUUUCAGUGGGGGAUAACGUAGCGAAAGUUACGCUAAUACCGCAUAUUCUGUGAGCAGGAAAGCAGGGGAUCGCAAGACCUUGCGCUGAUUGAGCGGCCGAUGUCAGAUUAGCUAGUUGGUGAGGUAAAGGCUCACCAAGGCGACGAUCUGUAGCGGGUCUGAGAGGAUGAUCCGCCACACUGGAACUGAGACACGGUCCAGACUCCUACGGGAGGCAGCAGUGGGGAAUUUUGGACAAUGGGGGCAACCCUGAUUCAGCCAUGCCGCGUGAGUGAAGAAGGCCUCGGUUGUAAGAC